AGUCUGUGUUGUAGGCAUUGACGAAGUAAAUCCUUGUAUCAUUCCCAUGCCUCUGAGUAGUGUUCUAAGUUUAGUUGUUGGAAUGUGGUGAUCUCAUCUCUUAGCUU
rnacentral:snoRNA from 1 species